rnacentral:lncRNA from 1 species
GGCUGUCCAGGAUGGAUGUGGGACCCUCUGUCAGACCAGGCCAGUUCUCUUAAUGUAAGAUCAGCAGGCCAAGGUCCUGGGAUAUGGGAGCUCCCAGGAAGUGGACUGGGAUGCCUGAGGGAUCCAAGAAUUAGCAGUGUCCUGUGUGGUCUCGCUGAGGGAAGCCAGGCAAAAUCUAGCGGCUCAGCUGUAACAGCCGGAGCUCUUGGCUCCAAGCAACAGGAAACAAUUCUGGCUUAUUUAAGCAGAAACGGACUUUAUCAAAAGGAUCUUGGGGAACUCACAAAAUAACCAAGAGGGCUGAAGAAUCCAGUUUGGUGAGUCGACCAAGGAGGCUGCACAGCAGUCAGGACUGCAGCCAAAGUCAGGCAAUCCAGGGAUAACCUCGCUGCCAAGUCCAGGACUCCCUGGCAUACACCGCCACCUUGGGACGUGGAUAUGGUCCCUGUCGCCCCAGGAAAUGGAAUGCCAUUGCCUUGGCGACUGCCACCGUCCACCAGAAUGGACUUCUGUGCUCCUUGCAUCUUUGUAUUAUCAGUUCCCAACUCCAAGCCUUUGAUGGGGGCAUCUGAUGGGUUGAGCCUAAGAAAGACGAAUGCCCACUUUCGGAUUCCAUCUUCUGCUGCGGACGCCUCCGGGACGCGCAGCCGCCCGGCGCAGAGGAAGUCCGGGACGCUGGGGACACCGCCUGGAGCCUCCGCGCAUAG